CAGUAGCCGCGGGAAUACGUAGGUGGCAAGCGUUGUCCGGAAUUAUUGGGCGUAAAGGGCUCGCAGGCGGUUUCUUAAGUCUGAUGUGAAAGCCCCCGGCCCAACCGGGGAGGGUCAUUGGAAACUGGGAAACUUGAGUGCAGAAGAGGAGAGUGGAAUUCCACGUGUAGCGGUGAAAUGCGUAGAGAUGUGGAGUGACACCAGUGGCGAAGGCGACUCUCUGGUCUGUAACUGACGCUGAGGAGCGAAAGCGUGGGGAGCGAACAGGAUUAGAUACCCGGGUAGUCCCUGUCUCUUAUAC
rnacentral:rRNA from 1 species